AACAGGAUUAGAUACCCUGGUAGUCCACGCCGUAAACGAUGUCGACUUGGAGGUUGUUCCCUGAGGAGUGGCUUCCGGAGCUAACGCGUUAAGUCGACCGCCUGGGGAGUACGGCCGCAAGGUUAAAACUCAAAUGAAUUGACGGGGGCCCGCACAAGCGGUGGAGCAUGUGGUUUAAUUCGAUGCACGCGAAGAACCUUACCUACUCUUGACAUCCACGGAAUUCGGCAGAGAUGCCUUAGUGCCUUCGGGAACCGUGAGACAGGUGCUGCAUGGCUGUCGUCAGCUCGUGUUGUGAAAUGUUGGGUUAAGUCCCGCAACGAGCGCAACCCUUAUCCUUUGUUGCCAGCGAUUCGGUCGGGAACUCAAAGGAGACUGCCGGUGAUAAACCGGAGGAAGGUGGGGAUGACGUCAAGUCAUCAUGGCCCUUACGAGUAGGGCUACACACGUGCUACAAUGGCGCAUACAAAGAGAAGCGACCUCGCGAGAGCAAGCGGACCUCAUAAAGUGCGUCGUAGUCCGGAUCGGAGUCUGCAACUCGACUCCGUGAAGUCGGAAUCGCUAGUAAUCGUGGAUCAGAAUGCCACGGUGAAUACGUUCCCGGGCCUUGUACACACCGCCCGUCACACCAUGGGAGUGGGUUGCAAAAGAAGUAGGUAGCUUAACCUUCGGGAGGGCGCUUACCACUUUGUGAUUCAUGACUGGGGUGAAG
rnacentral:rRNA from 1 species